GAUGAACGCUAGCGGCAGGCCUAAUACAUGCAAGUCAAGGGGCUCGGUAACGGGCACCGGCGGACGGGUGCGUAACGCGUACACAACGUACCUUUGAGCGGGGGAUAGCAUUGGGAAACUGGUGGUAAGACCCCAUUGUGUUGAGAGGUGGCAUCAUUUUUCAACUAAAGGUUACACUCAAAGAUCGGUGUGCGUCCGAUUAGCUAGUUGGCGGGGUAACGGCCCACCAAGGCGACGAUCGGUAGGGGGUGUGAGAGCAUGACCCCCCACAUGGGUACUGAGACACGGACCCAACUCCUACGGGAGGCAGCAGUAAGGAAUAUUGGACAAUGGUCGGAAGACUGAUCCAGCCAUGCCGCGUGAAGGACGAAGGCGCUCAGCGUUGUAAACUUCUUUUGGAUGGGGAUAAUACCCUCGAUUUAUCGGGGCUUGAAGGUACCAUCAGAAUAAGCACCGGCUAACUCCGUG
rnacentral:rRNA from 1 species